rnacentral:rRNA from 1 species
CGCAUGGUUCAAGUUGGAAAGACGGUUUCGGCUGUCACUUACAGAUGGGCCCGCGGCGCAUUAGCUAGUUGGUGAGGUAAUGGCUCACCAAGGCAACGAUGCGUAGCCGACCUGAGAGGGUGAUCGGCCACACUGGGACUGAGACACGGCCCAGACUCCUACGGGAGGCAGCAGUAGGGAAUCUUCCGCAAUGGACGAAAGUCUGACGGAGCAACGCCGCGUGAGUGAUGAAGGUUUUCGGAUCGUAAAACUCUGUUGUUAGGGAAGAACAAGUGCGAGAGUAACUGCUCGCACCUUGACGGUACCUAACCAGAAAGCCACGGCUAACUACGUGCCAGCAGCCGCGGUAAUACGUAGGUGGCAAGCGUUGUCCGGAAUUAUUGGGCGUAAAGCGCGCGCAGGCGGUUUCUUAAGUCUGAUGUGAAAGCCCCCGGCUCAACCGGGGAGGGUCAUUGGAAACUGGGAAACUUGAGUGCAGAAGAGGAGAGUGGAAUUCCACGUGUAGCGGUGAAAUGCGUAGAGAUGUGGAGGAACACCAGUGGCGAAGGCGACUCUCUGGUCUGUAACUGACGCUGAGGCGCGAAAGCGUGGGGAGCGAACAGGAUUAGAUACCCUGGUAGUCCACGCCGUAAACGAUGAGUGCUAAGUGUUAGAGGGUUUCCGCCCUUUAGUGCUGCAGCUAACGCAUUAAGCA